GACAGAGGUGCCGAGCGUUAGGCGGAAUCACUGGGCUUAAAGCGUGUGUAGGCGGGUCGUUAAGUACCUUGUGAAAUCCCAUGGCUCAACCAUGGAACGGCUGGGUAUACUGGCGAUCUUGAGCGAUCUAGGGGCAGAUGGAACAAGUGGUGGAGCGGUGAAAUGCGUAGAUAUCAGGAGGAAUACCGAUGGCGAAGGCAGGUCUCUGGGCUGACACUGACGCUCAUGCACGAAAGCGUGGGGAGCAAACAGG
rnacentral:rRNA from 1 species